rnacentral:misc_RNA from 1 species
AACGCACAUUGCGCCCGCCAGUAUUCUGGCGGGCAUGCCUGUUCGAGCGUCAUUUCAACCCUCAGGCCCCCAGUGCCUGGCGUUGGGGAUCGGCGUGGGCGCGGCAAUCCUCCGGGGUUGCCUCCGCCUGCCGGCCCCGAAAUUCAGUGGCGGUCUCGCUGUAGUCCCCCUCUGCGUAGUAGCACAACUCGCAUUGGAGCUCGGCGGUGGCCAUGCCGUAAAACACCCCACUUCUGAAAGUUGACCUCGGAUCAGGUAGGAAUACCCGCUGAACUUAA